rnacentral:lncRNA from 1 species
GACAUGAGCAAGCCUUCACCUUGCUCUUGGAAUUCUGGGUGCCUGGGCAGGUGAGAAGUGGGUGUUUCUGUGUAAAGUGAUGGGGUCCACGGCCUCCUCCUUUGAGGACUAGCACCCCAUUCGUGUAACCACUGGUUCCGUACCUCGGUUCCGUACCUCUGGAGAUCCGGGAAGGUCUUCCCAGAAAGUGUCACCAUCAUCUUCAAGCACCAUUCCCACAAUGUCGGUCCCUCCUGUGAUGUCAUCAUGGGACAUCUGGUCUGGUUCUGGUCACUCUGGAUCCUGUUCAUCUGUUGGUCUGCCUUGUCGUUUUCUUCUUUGUGUGAUGUCUGGCACGACAGAUCGAGAAGCCACCGGAUAUGGGGGUAAACAGGAAGAACGAGGUCCUGGCGUUGAUACGUCCCUUCCUCCAGGUUCCCACGCGGGAGGCUUCAUCUUCAAUGUGGCAGAGCUGGGAUGUGGUAGGACAUUUAAUAGGCAUGUCCUAGGGAAAGGUGGUUGGGUCGCUGGGAGCAUGGCAUUCAGCGGAGAUUCCUAGUAAAGGACGUCACACUCCAGUGAGACAGCCCCUCUGAGUCCUUAACUGGGAUCUAACCUUGUCAUUCCAGGAGGAAUGACACUCACUGUCACUAUGAUGCCUUUAGUCACACCAGGGCACAGCCAGGGCUUUAACCACAUCUCAC